CGACGAGUCGAGUAGUUUGGGAAUGCUGCUCAAAAUGGGAGGUAUAUGUCUUCUAAAGCUAAAUACCGGCCAGAGACCGAUAGCGCACAAGUAGAGUGAUCGAAAGAUGAAAAGCACUUUGAAAAGAGGGUUAAAUAGUACGUGAAAUUGUUGAAAGGGAAGCGCUCGUGACCAGACUUGGGCUUGACGGAUCAUCCGGCGUUCUCGCCGGUGCACUCUGCCUCGUCCAGGCCAGCAUCAGUUCGCCGCGGGGGAGAAAGGCUUCGGGAACGUGGCUCCUCCGGGAGUGUUAUAGCCCGUCGCGGAAUACCCUGGGGCGGACUGAGGUUCGCGCAUCUGCAAGGAUGCUGGCGUAAUGGUCAUCAGCGACCCGUCUUGAAACACGGACCAAGGAGUCGUCUUCGUAUGCGAGUGUUCGGGUGUCAAACCCCUACGCGUAAUGAAAGUGAACGCAGGUGAGAGCUUCGGCGCAUCAUCGACCGAUCCUGAUGUUCUCGGAUGGAUUUGAGUAAGAGCAUACGGGGCCGGACCCGAAAGAAGGUGAACUAUGCCUGUAUAGGGUGAAGCCAGAGGAAACUCUGGUGGAGGCUCGCAGCGGUUCUGACGUGCAAAUCGAUCGUCAAAUAUGGGCAUGGGGGCGAAAGACUAAUCGAACCUUCUAGUAGCUGGUUUCCGCCGAAGUUUCCCUCAGGAUAGCAGUGUUGAACUCAGUUUUAUGAGGUAAAGCGAAUGAUUAGGGACCCGGGGGCGCUACCGGGGGCGCUAUUUAGCCUUCAUCCAUUCUCAAACUUUAAAUAUGUAAGAAGCCCUUGUUACUUAAUUGAACGUGGGCAUUCGAAUGUAUCAACACUAGUGGGCCAUUUUUGGUAAGCAGAACUGGCGAUGCGGGAUGAACCGAACGCGAGGUUAAGGUGCCAGAGUAGACGCUCAUCAGACACCACAAAAGGCGUUAGUACAUCUUGACAGCAGGACGGUGGCCAUGGAAGUCGGAAUCCGCUAAGGACUGUGUAACAACUCACCUGCCGAAUGUACUAGCCCUGAAAAUGGAUGGCGCUCAAGCGUCUCACCCAUACCUCGCCCUCAGGGUAGAAACGAUCCC
rnacentral:rRNA from 1 species